UUAAAAGAACUCAUUUCUCACAACUCUUUAAAAAAUAUUUGUCUUAUUUCAAUUUGUGAUUAUUCCUGAAAACUAUAGUCAAAUUUACUGACACAAUGAGAAGUUUUUUUUUCAAAUUUUCAGUUCAUAAUAAAAUAGCUAACAUGAUUUAGCACCUUACUUUUAGUCGAUUACGACCAAUUUAAAUGGUCAAAAUAUUAUACAUGUAUACUGUGUUCUGAUUUGUCGAGGGGCCUGUCACGCGGAUCGUGGAUAAAUCACCGUCGGAUCCUCCUAUCCAACGGCCCACACCUCACCCUCUCACCCACCCACCGCGAGCUACCCCUAAAAAAACCACCGCGCACCACUCCUCUCUCUCCCCCCGCGACGAACCCUAACGCUCAGAUCCAGAUCCCUCCCCUCGCCGCCACCCAUCUCCCUCACCUCACCGCCGGCCACGACCUCGGCUCUCCCCUCCCCUCCCUCAUCAGAAGAGAUCCGAUCUCCCGUCGACGUCCUCCUCCCCCCUGCUCCGGGCAACCAGUUCCCCUUCCAACCUCCAACCAACAUCCCACCACCGCGCUGCCACGCCCCUCCCUCCUCCUCGCGGUCUCCUACGCCGUGCUCAAGAUCUCGGCGGCGACGAUCCCAUCGGGUGGCGUGCGGUGGCCGGGGGUCGGGAUCGACGAGAGGAGUGGGAGGAGCUGGGCCAUCGGGAGGUGCUUGGCGGCGGCGGUGGAGGAGGCCGGCGCGCAGGAGGACGGCGUGCUGCUGCCCAAGGAGGGGAGCGAGGCGGCCGCGAGGCGUGCUGCUGCCCAAGGAGUGGUACCCGCUGUACCUAUCCAAGGAGGUGCCCGAGGAUGCGGCGCUCCCGAUCACCGUGUUCGACCGCCAGCUCGUGCUCUUUCUCCCCUCCAUGGGAGAAGAAGGCCAAGGAGGAGCAGGCCAAGAAGUCCAAGAUGAAGGGAGCUCGAUGAAGCUUGGACAUUGGUGAGGGCUCUGACGGUGGUGGUGGUGCUGGGCUGGUUGUGGCCUCAUGCGUGGUAGGAGGCUUAGGCUGGCCCUUGACUUCAACAGUUUGACUACCUCCUUGGCUCCUGCCUCUGCACCACAAAUCUUUGGUGAACUCCGGUGAACUCUUGGGGCUACCUUCUUCACUCUGAUCAUCUUCUUCGUUCUGUUGCUAUGAUGCAUUGAGUUGUAUGCCUGGUUAUUAGAGGUUUUUUCUGCUAGUACUUCUUGUAAGGCAAUAUAAUUGGUUGUUUUGUGCUGCUGGCCUAAUUAAACAUGAUCAGUAUGUAUACUUCUUUGAGAUAGACAUUUCAUGCAUGUUUAUGAGGUACAAAUUCUACAGAUGUCACAAAAUAUUGGUGGCAAAGUGUCUUCUUAUCUUUAUAUUUGCUUAACUAAAAUCUUAGAGUAACAAUAACUGUACUUGACAAGUAAACAUUAGCAUCUUAAAUGAUUAGCUAAAAUGAUGUAGGAGUAGUAGAAACUUCAUGGUUGAUCCUGAUUGCUGAACAUGGGAGAUGUAUCUUCUUUUGCAUAUCAAUUACAUAGUAGUACUAUGUAAUGCUUGCCGAUGUGGUACAUUCAGUACUGCCAGCACUGGCCAUUAAUUACACUGGCCAUUUUACGCUAGGCUUUAGAUUCUGCCGAGCCAGAUCCGUUGACCCGCGGUUUGAUUCGUGGCGUGCGAGAUUUGUUCCUGGGCUGACGUGGUGUGUUUUCCGGUGUGAUUUUCGCCGGCCUUGGACAAGAUCAGUACAGUUUUGCUGGAACCAUCCAUGGGGCGGGGCGACGACCGACGAGGAGUGAUUCCUAGGCUUGGGUUUGUUUGUUUUGAUGUGGAUUCCGUGAGCUUGGAGCUUAUAGAUUAGAUUACACAGUGAUUCCGUGAUGUGGAUUCCUUGUUUGACUUGCUUAGAGGUUAGAGCCCUAAUUAGAUUACAAUCUCAUCUGGUAUGGUUAAGACCGAUGAGAUAAACAUGCCGUGGUUGCUUGUCGCAGGUUUUCCUUACCGUUUACAAUGCUCAAUUCUGUAACAUGCUCGUCCAUUGCCAAUUACUGCUUGCUUGAUCUAUAUUUGGUUCAUAACCUAAUUAUAUAUACCAAAACUGAUCCCACAAUUGUGAUAAUUCUCUCUAGCUAUGGGAACCCUGCUUGAAUUGACUUUGAAUCUCGUUGAACCUGUCAGAUUCUUACUAAUUGCCUGAGUUUGAGUACCCAAACCAGCUGCAUCUUUAACCAUGUUCUUUUGCUGAAUGUUUUAGGCCUUUUGAGGCUGUUCAUCACUGUUCUAUGCAAAAGAGUGCUAAAAUGCCAUCACUGUCCUGUAUAGAGAGUCGUGCCUACUACUGCAAUCAAAAUAUAGUUUCAUGAUUAUGUCCCAAUCAGUUAAAAAAGAUUGUCCUCUCAAACCUGUUUGUUCGUUUUGGAGCAGCAGACAUCCUUAGUGGACAAUGAUGACAACCAGGGCAUCCACCACCACCACGACGCUCCGCACAUGGUCCAACUCGGCUACAACCUCCUCUACCGCGUACAGCGGUCGCGGUUGUCUGCAGCAUCAAGUACAGCCUCCUCUCCGAUAUUUUGCCUAAAUUCAAGACGAAAGAAGAUGUUCAAAGAAGCGCCAAGACAUUUUUGUAUAGCAAGUUAUGUAAUAAUAGCUGGGUUAUCUGGGCAUUGUGAACUCCAGAAUUUCAUGUAUCUUCUCUCUGUUUUUGAAUGAAAUGUUGUAUGUGUGUUGAUGUAAUAGAUUGUUGCUUCUUGUUAUUUGAAGUAUUACACUUGUUUUCUGUCCAUUUUGAUUUAAAUAUUGGUUGUUUAAUUAUUGGCAUAUUGAAAUCCGAGGAACAUGACCAUGACAGCAAGGACCCACAAACCAGAAUCGGAAAUUUGGGACCCACUUAUCAGAACCUGACAAUUGGGACCCAUUUGAAAAAAGA